ACGGAGGGUGCAAGCGUUAUUCGGAAUUACUGGGCGUAAAGCGCACGUAGGCGGCUUUGUAAGUCAGGGGUGAAAUCCCACGGCUCAACCGUGGAACUGCCUUUGAAACUGCAGAGCUUGAAUCCUGGAGAGGGUGGCGGAAUUCCUGGUGUAGGAGAGAAAUCCGUAGAUAUCAGGAGGAACGCCGGUGGCUAAGGCGGGCACCUGGGCAGGUAUUUACGCUGAGGUGCGAAAGUGUGGGGAGCAAACAG
rnacentral:rRNA from 1 species